GGAGAUUAGCAUGGUCCCUGCUCAAGGAUGAAAUGCAAAUUUGUGAAGCAUCCCAUAUUUUU
rnacentral:snRNA from 1 species